GGAUGACCCGCCCUUCGGGUUGUAAACCUCUUUCAGUAGGGAACAAGGCUACACGUUGUGUGGUUGAGGGUACCUGCAGAAGAAGCGCCGGCUAACUACGUGCCAGCAGCCGCGGUAAUACGUAGGGCGCAAGCGUUAUCCGGAAUUAUUGGGCGUAAAGAGCUCGUAGGCGGUUUGUCGCGUCUGCCGUGAAAGUCCGGGGCUCAACCCCGGAUCUGCGGUGGGUACGGGCAGACUAGAGUGAUGUAGGGGAGACUGGAAUUCCUGGUGUAGCGGUGAAAUGCGCAGAUAUCAGGAGGAACACCGAUGGCGAAGGCAGGUCUCUGGGCAUUAACUGACGCUGAGGAGCGAAAGCAUGGGGAGCGAACAGGAUUAGAUACCCUGGUAGUCCAUGCCGUAAACGUUGGGCACUAGGUGUGGGGGACAUUCCACGUUUUCCGCGCCGUAGCUAACGCAUUAAGUGCCCCCGCCUGGGGGAGUACGGCCGAAAGG
rnacentral:rRNA from 1 species